rnacentral:rRNA from 1 species
AAGGAUCAUUAAAAAAUGGUUUGGUCCCCUCANUAAAGGUCCUCCAGGGCAAACCUUCCUUGAGUAGCAAUUCAUGUUGUUUCUCCAGGCCAGCAGCCAUUGCUGCCCAUCCUACCGUGCCUUGGUCACAGGAUUGAGGUGCCUGGGGAGGGGUCCAAAAGCAGAAACUUUGGUGCACACAUGCUGUCUGAGUUGGUGGGCCAUGUGGCCCUGUUAAUUGAAUUAUUUAAAACUUUCAACAACGGAUCUCUUGGCUCUCGCAUCGAUGAAGAACGCAGCGAAAUGCGAUAAGUAAUGUGAAUUGCAGAAUUCAGUGAAUCAUCGAAUCUUUGAACGCACAUUGCGCCCUUUGGCAUUCCUUAGGGCAUGCCUGUUCGAGCAUCACUAGCAACCAUCUCACGGAUCCCGUGGUCUUGGUGGAAGCUUCCUGCGCCCCGUUUGGGUGCAGCAAAGCUCCGCUGAAAUGUAUAAGCAGGACAAACAGGUCCCGGCGAGUGACUUAGUAAGUGUCGUGAAGACGUAGACCAGUCAGCAGACAGGCCUUGCCCUGUUCACCCAGACCUCCCCAUCUGGUGUGAUCUCUUGGUUGACCU